ACCUUAAUCAAAGUAGCUUUUGACAAAGAGUUGGAUCUAAUAUUAGUUUCCAGAGAAAAACUAUCAAGACCAAAGAUAUGUAUCACAUAAAUCAAAAUUCGAAAUAUCUUGUAAUUUAACAAAGUUAUGAUAAAAAUUGUUACAACCUAUUAAAAAUUUGAGGUUUAUGUAAGUUAUCCAAUAAAUUAUGCAAAUUUCAAAAACAUACCUAAACUAUAUAGAAAAAAUUGCACAAACAAUAAUUUCAAUGAAAUCUAGGCGAGUAACAACCAACAAAAUAAUAGUGGGCACCCUUUUUGGAUCCUAAACUUGUUUUAACUGCAUAGAUGAGAACACUAGGGUAUAAUAUGAUUCAAUUCUCGGCAUGAAUCACUCCUACUUUCUAUUUCUUCGCUUGAUUAUUAUUCGAAGUAGAGAUUUGUUGAUAUGAUUAUAUUGUUUCUAAUAGUGGUCACCCCUUUUGAAUCUUGCAGUUGCCAACAAUCUUGUUUUAACCGCACAGAUGAGAACACCAGAGUACAACAUGAUUUAAUUCUCGGCAUGAAUCACUCAUACUUCCUAUUUCUUCGCUUAAUUACUAUUCGGAGUAGAAAUUUAUUCAUAUGAUUUUAUUAUUUCUAAUAGUGGUCACCCCUUUUGGAUCCUACAGUUACCAACAAUCUUGUUUUAACCGCACAGAUGAGAACACCAUGGUACAACAUGAUUCAAUUCUCGCACAAAUAAAAAUAAAAAUGUUAAAUGAUUUCUUUUAAUCCGCUGAGUAUUGCUGGAUAGAGGGAAUCAAUUUUUUAGUUUAUAAGUCUUUUUUUCCUUUAAAUACAUAAAACACAUCGCAAACUAUUGUGUUAGACAAACCUCUCUACCCCUGGUCCCUUAUUCUAUUAGCUAAACCAAAAUCAACAGCUCUACACUUGCUAUAAACUCAUUCGGAUUUGAUGCAUCUUGGAAAUUCUUAUCAAACAAAAAAAUCCUAACCAACUAAUCAACAGAUAUUAAAGUACCAAAAAAAAUACCACAUAUUCACAAAAAACUGCAUCAAUUGACAUGCACCAACUCUUUGGAUUUUUCCUUAUUUUUUUCUUUCUGGAAGGGCUUUUAUCUGAAUUUUUGGUGUAAUGCAUUGGAAGAAAAUUUUUGUCGUUAUCUUCAAAACUGAUACAAAGACCUGAUUUUUUUAAAUUUAUUUUCAGCAAAGAAAAGAUAAAAUUCAUUACAUGUAUGUAAAAAACAAAAAGAAUAAAACUAUUUUUUUUAAUGUUUUUUGCGAGUUUUUGUUAUUUUGCUUCUAAUGGUUCAAUUAGUAAAAAUCCCCCAUCUUUUAAGUGCUAAAGUAGAGACCCCAAAUAUAAAUUAACCAAAUCAAUUAAAGUGUCAUUAAAGAAAAAUUAAAAUUAAAAAAGUUAAAGCAAAAACACGAAGAAAUUGAUGCAAAAUUAUAUACACCCAUUUUCCCCCAAUUAAGACAAUCAAAUCAAGAAAACCCAGCAAAUAGUAGCUUGGAAAUGCAAAAUCGGAUAUCAAAAACACAAAACCCUCAUACUAAAUUGCUAGGCGCAGUUCUACUGAAAUAGAAAACACAAAAUUCGCAUACCUUUAUUAGUUGAAUGGUUGUAGUUGAAAGAAGAGCAAGCCAAACAAAGAAAGUGUAGAAUAUGAAAGAAAUAAUAAUAUGUGGAAGCACAUAUUUAUAAUCUGUGUAGAAUAACAGAAAAUGAUAGGAGGAUUCAUCUUCAGUGUAGAAGUAUUGGAAGGAAGAAGAAGAGGAAACAACUUUGGAGUCUCCAUCGCUUUACACAUCAGACCUUAACACGUCGUGAAGCCCAACAGCAGUAAAGUGGCACUCAUUGAGGUAGUAUGAAAAGACUAAAAUUCCCUUAGUGAGUGAAAUAGGCAUGUUGAAAUUUGCUCACUUCUAAUAUAUAUAUAUAUAUAU
rnacentral:lncRNA from 1 species